rnacentral:rRNA from 1 species
CCCUUAGAUGUUCGGGGCCGCACGCGCGCUACACUGAAUGAAUCAGCGAGUGUAUGUCCUAGGCCGAAAGGUCCGGGUAACCCGUUGAACCUCAUUCGUGAUAGGGAUUGGGGCUUGAAAUUGUUCCCCAUGAACGAGGAAUUCCCAGUAAGCGCGAGUCAUAAGCUCGCGUUGAUUACGUCCCUGCCCUUUGUACACACCGCCCGUCGCUACUACCGAUUGAACGGUUUAGUGAGGGCCUCGGAUUGGUCUCGGCCCGCUCUUUACCGGGCGGCGCCGUUGGUCGAGAAGACGCUCGAACUUGAUCGUUUAGAGGAAGUAAAAGUCGUAACA